rnacentral:rRNA from 1 species
GACAGCAGCCGCCGCGGUAAUACAGAGGGUGCGAGCGUUAAUCGGAUUUACUGGGCGUAAAGCGUGCGUAGGCGGCUAAUUGAGUCGGAUGUGAAAUCCCCGAGCUUAACUUGGGAAUUGCAUUCGAUACUGGUUAGCUAGAGUGUGGGAGAGGAUGGUAGAAUUCCAGGUGUAGCGGUGAAAUGCGUAGAGAUCUGGAGGAAUACCGAUGGCGAAGGCAGCCAUCUGGCCUAACACUGACGCUGAGGUACGAAAGCAUGGGGAGCAAACAGGAUUAGAUACCCCCGUAGUCCCUGUCUCUUAUAC